GAUUUCUGGUGCGGUGCGCCUGACCCGCCACGGUUACGUGUGUGAGUGUCGGGUCGUGCCUGCCAUCCUUCUGGAGAACGAGUUUCUUCAUCCUUGAAUGGAUGGGAAGCUCGAGGCUCUAGAUCUUUUACUUUGAAAAAAUUAGAGUGUUCAAAGCAGGCAGUUAUUUGCUAUGAAUACAUUAGCAUGGAAUAAUAAUCUAGGACUAUUCGGUCUUAUUUUGUUGGUUUCGCGGACUGAAGUCAUGAUUGAUAGGGAUAGUUGGGGGUGCUAGUAUUCAGUGGCCAGAGGUGAAAUUCUCGGAUUCACUGAAGACUGACUUAUGCGAAAGCAUU
rnacentral:rRNA from 1 species